rnacentral:rRNA from 1 species
UACGGGGGGGGCAAGCGUUGUUCGGAAUUACUGGGCGUAAAGCGUGCGUAGGUGGUUCGUUAAGUCUGAUGUGAAAGCCCUGGGCUCAACCUGGGAAUGGCAUUGGAUACUGGCGACCUAGAGUGCGGUAGAGGAUCGCGGAAUUCCCGGUGUAGAGGUGAAAUUCGUAGAUAUCGGGAGGAACACCAGUGGCGAAGGCGGCGAUCUGGGUCGAUACUGACGCUGAGGUGCGAAAGCGUGGGGAGCAAACAGG